UUAGGGAAAUCUAAAAGACUAGAGUACCACUCCACUUCUCCUGUUCAGCCUUACUAGGGCACCUGCUCAUGACAGAUCAGAAUAGGUAAUUAUGUAAGAUGGGGACUAAAACCGAGAGUAAUGUGUGUAACUGAGGUGUGGUGUGUAUGUGUGCAUUAUGUUACCUAAACAUAUUUCUGCUGCCAAAUAUUUGGAGGGGGUUAAGGUAGGGGCAGGCCUUAUAACCCCUCUUUCUCCUUCCCCAACCACCCCCCAAUUUUAGCCAAAUCAACACAGUAGCUGAGGGAAGCUGGUACAAAAAGAAAGGAUGUCUGGAGCCCUCUGUCUUCUCUAUAAUCUAAGCACGGUCUUGAGAGUUAUUUUAUUCACAUGAACACUGGAUGUUGUUGGACUCAACUCUCAUCAGCCCCUGCCAGCACAACCAAUGACUGGGGAUAAUUGGAGUUGUAGUCCAACAUCUGGAGGGCCAAAGGUUUCCUAUCUGUGCCUUACUCUGCAAUGUCAUUGACUUUUCAGAGUGGGCUGUGUCUCUUUUCCAGGGGCGCUUGGACAAACCUCCAGUCAUGGGUGACUUUGGGCCAGUCCCCAUCUCUCAGCUUAACCUACUCAUAGUUGCUGUGAGGGUAGAGUGGGGAGCGGGAGAGCCAUGUACAGAGCCUGGAGUUAUUCAGAGGGAAAGUGUGAUAUAAAUUGAACAAUAAAUAAAUAAAAAUACGUAGUGGAAAUUUCAGUAUGUCAUUUGACAUUAAGACUUCAUGCUCUCUUAAGCUGUCCUGAAAUUCUGUUUCCCUAAUGGUUCGUUUAUAAUGAUAUACUUUCACAUUUAUUUACUUAAUACGUUUUUUUUCCGAGUUGCAUUUGUCAUUUCAAAUAAUCUUUUUUUUUUUUUAACCUAAAGCUUAUUGAUGAAUAUCAGACCAAUUAAAAUGAGAAUACGUGCUUUUAUUUCCCAAGGAAUGUGAAUUGCACCCCGAGUAAAUGUUUUUUUCUAAUACUCAG